GAUAUUUCCGUCGCCGACCCUCAAUCGAGGGUGUCGGACGUCGCGACCCGUUCGCCAGAUCGAUGCUCAGGGGCGCGUCUCAAGUUCGUAUGCGCGGCCGUUUCGGCGGUCGCGCGGCGAUGACGCGUUUCCACUGUUUUCGACGCGGACGGUAGCUUUGCGCGCGGGUAAUCGAGGCGGUCCUUCGUCCGGCGUCUCGUACGUCGGACGGCGCUCGCCUCGACGCCGGUCAGCGACGAAUCUUCGGGCCUCUUUCCGACCCGUCUUGAAACACGGACCAAGGAGUCUAGCGUGCGCGCGAGUCGCGGGGUAUCCGAGGAGUAGUAGUCGUUUCGGCGGCGAACGCUCCUCGUCACGAUACGAAACCCGUGUACGUACGUUGUGCGAAGGCGUAAUGAAAGUGAAAGGCGGCGCUUCGCGCGUCGCCGGGGGAAGACGGUCGACCGUGUACACGUUUCGCGACCGCGUAUGUGUCGCGACCGGUCACCCGCAUUCCCAGGGCGUCCCGCUCGUACGUCGGCGGCCGGGGUUCGCUUCGACCGUCGACGAACUGGGGCGCACCUACAGCGUGCACGCUGGUACCCGAAAGAUGGUGAACUAUGCCUGGCCAGGAUGAAGUCAGGGGAAACCCUGAUG
rnacentral:rRNA from 1 species